GCACACACAUACUAAACUUGGAAAGACACAGGGAUUAGCAUGGCCCCUGUGCAAGGGUGAAUAAACAUUUGUAAAGUAUUUCACAUUAAA
rnacentral:snRNA from 1 species